rnacentral:rRNA from 1 species
UUAGGAAUAUUCGUCAAUGGGGGAAACCCUGAACGAGCAAUGCCGCGUGAAGGAUGACGGUCCUCUGGAUUGUAAACUUCUGUUGUUAGGGAAGAACGACCUAGGUAGGAAAUGACCUAGGAGUGACGGUACCUUUCAAGAAAGCUCCGGCUAACUACGUGCCAGCAGCCGCGGUAAUACGUAGGGAGCGAGCGUUAUCCGGAUUUAUUGGGUGUAAAGGGUGCGUAGGCGGUUUCUUAAGUCUGUAGUCUAAGCCCGGAGCUUAACUCCGGUUCGCUACAGAAACUGAGUUACUUGAGUAUGGUAGAGGCAAGUGGAAUUUCUAGUGUAGCGGUUAAAUGCGUAGAUAUUAGAAGGAACACCGGUGGCGAAGGCGACUUGCUGGGCCAUCACUGACGCUGAGGCACGAAAGCGUGGGGAGCAAAUAGG